GUAUACGACCGUACCGCAAACCGACACUGGUGCGCGAGAUGAGUAUUCUAAGGCGCUUGAGAGAACUCAGGAGAGGGAACUCGGCAAAUUGACACCGUAACUUCGGAAGAAGGUGUGCCCUAUUAGUGUGUAGUGAACAACGAAGCAUGAAUGGGUUGCAAAAAAUCGGUGGCUGCGACUGUUUAUUAAAAACACAGCACUCUGCAAACACGAAAGUGGACGUAUAGGGUGUGACGCCUGCCCGGUGUUGGAAGAUUAAAUGAUGGGGUGCAAGCUCUUGAUUGAAGUCCCAGUAAACGGCGGCCGUAACUAUAACGGUCCUAAGGUAGCGAAAUUCCUUGUCGGGUAAGUUCCGACCUGCACGAAUGGCGUAACGAUGGCCACACUGCCUCCUCCUGAGACUCAGCGAAGUUGAAAUGUUUGUGAUGAUGCAAUCUCCCCGCGGAAGGACGGAAAGACCCCAUGAACCUUUACUGUAGCUUUGUAUUGGACUUUGAACAGAUCUGUGUAGGAUAGGUGGGAGGCUUUGAAGCAGGGUCGCUAGAUCUUGUGGAGCCAACGUUGAAAUACCACCCUGGUGUGUUUGAGGUUCUAACCUAGGUCCAUUAUCUGGAUCGGGGACAGUGCAUGGUAGGCAGUUUGACUGGGGCGGUCUCCUCCCAAAGCGUAACGGAGGAGUUCGAAGGUACGCUAGUUACGGUCGGACAUCGUGACGAUAGUGCAAUGGCAUAAGCGUGCUUAACUGCGAGACUGACAAGUCGAGCAGAUGCGAAAGCAGGACAUAGUGAUCCGGUGGUUCUGUAUGGAAGGGCCAUCGCUCAACGGAUAAAAGGUACUCUGGGGAUAACAGGCUGAUACCGCCCAAGAGUUCAUAUCGACGGCGGUGUUUGGCACCUCGAUGUCGGCUCAUCUCAUCCUGGGGCUGUAGCCGGUCCCAAGGGUAUGGCUGUUCGCCAUUUAAAGAGGUACGUGAGCUGGGUUUAAAACGUCGUGAGACAGUUUGGUCCCUAUCUUCCGUGGGCGCUGCAGAUUUGAGGAAGCCUGCUCCUAGUACGAGAGGACCGGAGUGGACACACCUCUGGUGUAUCGGUUGUCACGCCAGUGGCAUUGCCGAGUAGCUAAGUGUGGAAGAGAUAACCGCUUAAAGCAUCUAAGCGGGAAACUCGUUUCAAGAUGAGAUCUGCCGGGGCCUUGAGCCCCCUAAAGAGUCGUUCAAGACCAGGACGUUGAUAGGUCAGGUGUGGAAGCGA
rnacentral:rRNA from 1 species